GACGAACGCUGGCGGCGUGCCUAAUACAUGCAAGUAGAACGCUGAAGAGAGGAGCUUGCUCUUCUUGGAUGAGUUGCGAACGGGUGAGUAACGCGUAGGUAACCUGCCUUGUAGCGGGGGAUAACUAUUGGAAACGAUAGCUAAUACCGCAUAACAAUGGAUGACACAUGUCAUUUAUUUGAAAGGGGCAAUUGCUCCACUACAAGAUGGACCUGCGUUGUAUUAGCUAGUAGGUGAGGUAAUGGCUCACCUAGGCGACGAUACAUAGCCGACCUGAGAGGGUGAUCGGCCACACUGGGACUGAGACACGGCCCAGACUCCUACGGGAGGCAGCAGUAGGGAAUCUUCGGCAAUGGGGGCAACCCUGACCGAGAAACGCCGCGUGAGUGAAGAAGGUUUUCGGAUCGUAAAGCUCUGUUGUAAGUCAAGAACGGGUGUGAGAGUGGAAAGUUCACACUGUGACGGUAGCUUACCAGAAAGGGACGGCUAACUACGUG
rnacentral:rRNA from 1 species